GGCUUUUGAGGUCUAUUGCAUUUGGGGGUAACAGCCACAGCUUCACUGCUGUAGGGACUGUGACCUGGGGAUAUUUCAGGGUUGUUUUCUGUUGGUUUUGACCUUUUCCAGACACAAAAAGAAAAAAUGAAGAUGUGUAAGACAAUAUCUGUUUUCAUUCUGAUGUUUACAGGAUAUCUUUGUAACGGUGAUGAACUCACAACAUCAGAGAUGGUGCCCACAAAAGGUUUAUCACCUCCUUUAGAAGAUCAUGAUGAAGCUUCCAAACACAAUUUGGAAUGGGAAACAAAACCUGACUACGAUUACCAGGAUUCUCCUCCAGCAGCAGGACACCUGUCAAGUGUGGUAGUGGCAGGAGUCAGCAUUUCCCUUGUGGUCCUUUUUAUUAUUAUAACUACUGUUUUCUGGUAUGCACAGAAAAAAUCAAAGGAAAGCUCGGCUGAAAUUAAUUCUGUCCUCUACACUGAGCCUGGAGUGUCUUUAAAAAAUAUUUCAGUGAAUGAGAACCAUCCCGAGUGGCCUUUUGAAAGAGCAUUACACUGACAGCAGGAGAGCUUGGAUGACCCUUCGGACUGUGCACCUGGAUGGCAGAGCUGUGUACCAUGGCACUUUGAGCCAGUCAUUUUCCCCUUUUCAGUGAGCAUUUCAAAUCAUUCCCCAAUAAUUUGGAAUCUGAGUUAACAAGAAAAUCCUGUUAUCCAAAGAAUCUCAGUCGAUGCUAUUAAGAAGUGGCAUGCAUUGCCCAUAGUGUAACAAGAGAAAGGCCAAACUCAAUAACUGGUAUUUAGGGCCUUUGCUGUAUGUUUAUCUGUUAUAUAUUGUAGUGAGGUGUUUUUCCAUUUUAUUUCAUGCUUGUCAUGUUUUAUCUCUUUUUCUCUUAUUUAAUAUUUUUCAUGUUUUACUUUUUUUACGUUCUUUUCAGGAGAAAAUAAGAAAGAAAAAUCCUCCCUAUUGUAGCUAUUUUAACAGCACUCUCAGAAAAGCUGUAUCUUCAAAAAAGUUACAUUCUUGAAAUUAUGAAGACCCUAAUUAGAGAAAAUGCCACACUUAGACUAUGUCUGUUCUAAUAAAUUAAACCUGCACAGGAACA
rnacentral:lncRNA from 1 species